rnacentral:lncRNA from 1 species
AUUUGAUCCUUCCCAGGUUCGCCAGCGUGGUGUUCCGAGAGGAAAGCGCAGCCGCAGCGUACGAAUGGGAAGGCCAAACACGGUCCCGAGGAGUCUGAGGGGAGCUGCAGGGCGCCUGGAAUUGGGGUCUCGAGUGAGCCGGUAAAAACCGCCUUCCGCUGAGCGUCCCGGAACAAAUACUGUCUGAACUGAGCCGUAAGCAAGAAACGGUCAGGAGAAGCUGGGGCGAUCUGAUGAUUAGAACAUUUCAGGGACUACCAGAGAGAAGUGCGUAAUUGCUCUAAGGCAGCUUUCUGCCAUGUGAGGACACUAC